rnacentral:rRNA from 1 species
UACAGAGGGUGCGAGCGUUAAUCGGAAUUACUGGGCGUAAAGCGCACGUAGGCGGUCCUGCAAGUCAGGCGUGAAAUCCCUUGGCUCAACCGAGGAAUUGCGUUUGAAACUGCAGGACUGGAGUACUGGAGAGGGUGGCGGAAUUCCCGGUGUAGGAGUGAAAUCCGUAGAUAUCGGGAGGAACACCAGUGGCGAAGGCGGCCACCUGGACAGAUACUGACGCUGAGGUGCGAAAGCGUGGGGAGCAAACAGG